rnacentral:lncRNA from 1 species
CAGUGUUACACCACGUGCACUCAGCUGACGCCAGAAGUCUCCCAGAACUCUGAAACUCAGGAAGGGGGGGUAGGGUAGGGUAGGGCUCACCUCGAAGGUCUGCACUGGGAUGCUCUUGGCCUUGCGGGACAGGGGCUGGGGGGGCGGCAGUGGGGGCACCGAGCUCAUUCUCUGACAAGUGACUUUUCAGUGCCUGCAGAGCCCACACGUGGGCAUCAGCGAGAGCCCCACCAGCCCCCCACAGCUACUACCACCCUCCAAACUCUCCAAGUGCCACCAGUGUUCCAAGCACCCUCAGCCCUCCCAGCCUCCCAAGAUCCACCAGCCCCCUCAGCCCUACCAGUGCCCCAGCUCCACUGCCCCCGCCCCCAGUCCCACUGUUGCCUCAUUCCCACGAGCCUCCCCCAGCUCCACCAGCCCAACAAUCCCUGUCAGCUGUCCAGUCCCACCAUCAGCCCCAUCAGUGCCAUCAGCCCCAAAGAUCCCUCAGGACACCCCCAUGAGAACACAUCCCCCGCACACCCCCAGCCUCACCUUCUUCUCGAUGGAGGAGAGGAAAUCUUUCAGCACAGACAGCUUCAGCACCAGGCUCUCCAGCUCCUGCUCCCCGCUCUGCCCUGCUGUCUGGAACCCCCAGGAGGUAACCCCAGCACAGGGAUGGGAUCCCCACACCCACCCCAGUUCCGCCCCAGAGUAACAAGACCCCCAGGCGCCCUGGGAUGGGGCAGGAUGGUGGGUGUUUCUCCCCAGGCUUUCCCACCACCCAUGGAUGGUGCUACGGUGGGGUCUGUGGGCACAGUCCAUGGUGGUGGGUUGCCACCACCGUGUCCCCAUAUCCCCCUCACCUGCUGCAGGAUCUUGGAAACCAUGGGGGAGCUCUGCUGGUCAAACACUUUGGAGAGGAUCUCCAGCCCUGCCAGCACCUUGUCCACCUCACUGCAGGGGCAAGAGGAGCCAGCUCAGUGGGUGACACAGAUGUCCCUCCAUCUGUCCCUCUGUCCCAGCACCCAGCACCCACCUGUGCAGCCGUUUGCAGGAGGUGACAAGGGUCUUGUUGAGGUGGGGGAGGCUGUUGGCCCCCCCCUUCACUGCCUCCAGGUCCAGGGUGUAGCUGCCCUUCAGGUACUCGUGGGAGAUGCUGCUGAGCCCGUUGG